UCACGUAACAGGCAAAAUGGGGGUGGUCCGAAAAAUUUUUCACAGAUCGUGGAGGGCUGAUUGCAGAAAUGAGAUAGAAAAGUUUGGAAUAGCUUUACGUU
rnacentral:lncRNA from 1 species